UACGUAGGGGGCAAGCGUUGUCCGGAAUCAUUGGGCGUAAAGAGCGUGUAGGCGGCCAGAAAAGUCCGCUGUGAAAACUCGAGGCUCAACCUCGAGCUGUCGAUGGAAACCAUCUGGCUAGAGUCCGGAAGAGGAGAGUGGAAUUCCUGGUGUAGCGGUGAAAUGCGCAGAUAUCAGGAAGAACACCCGUGGCGAAGGCGGCUCUCUGGUACGUGACUGACGCUGAGACGCGAAAGCGUGGGGAGCGAACAGG
rnacentral:rRNA from 1 species